rnacentral:rRNA from 1 species
CCUACGGGAGGCAGCAGUGGGGAAUAUUGGGCAAUGGGCGCAAGCCUGACCCAGCAACGCCGCGUGAAGGAAGAAGGCUUUCGGGUUGUAAACUUCUUUUCUCAGGGACGAAGCAAGUGACGGUACCUGAGGAAUAAGCCACGGCUAACUACGUGCCAGCAGCCGCUGUAUUCCGUAGGUGGCAAGCGUUAUCCGGAUGUAUUGGUUGUCAAGGUCGUGUAGGCGGGGACGCAAGUCAGAUGUGAAACCCACGGGCUUAACCUGUGUCCUGCAGUUGAAACUGGGUUUCUUGAGUACAGGAGAGGCAGACGGAAUUACUAGUGUAGCGGUGAAAUGCGUAGAUAUUAGGAGGAACACCAGUGGCGAAGGCAGUCUGCUGGACAGCAACUGACGCUGAGGCGCGAAAGCGUGGGGAGCAAACAGGAUUAGAUACCCCUGUAGUC